GAUUAUGCUGGAGUUCCAUGGUUCCUAGGGUGUUGAGGAAUGAUGCCUCAGGAUUCAGAAUUUUUUGUGUUUGUAAUUUCCUGAGCUCUAUUUAGUUCUUCCAAUUAAAAAAAAUAUCCAUGGUCAGAUGUAAUCCCUGGUCCAUGCCUCCAUUCAUGAUUGACCUCAGUGAUCAAUUCUACCACUGCAAUCACAAGCAGAUAGCUCACCUCCUCCUGUAGCCAUAGGCAAGAAUCCCACUCUCUUGGGGCUAACCACAAACAACAGGGCACCAGACUCUUAGCAAAGAUACUGAUGGAAGGAUUGCCUCCCUAGUGAGAAUACCUGAAAGAAAACGUAAAGGACUUCAACAAGAAUCCAAAGCCUGAAAAGGGAGGAACCCAGUGCAGCUUCAGACUCAGAAAAUCCCUGAAGCCAAAUCCUGCAAUGACUGAGGAAAAGUUACAAAAACAAUGAUCUCCGUCUACCAAGCUUCUCAGUUGAGAGGAAUCUGAACUGUCUCCUUCUGGACAUUCUUUUGGGGAGCCAACCAUCUGAGCUCCUUUUUCAAAGGACCUUCUCUGUACUGGGGAGGGGAGGGGGGCUAGAACAAACUGUUCAUGUCUUGGUAGGCAGGUGUUCUCAAAUAAAUAAUUAGGGAAUGAAGAAUGUUAAUUUAUUCUGGCUGGGUCAAGCUGUGUUGUUCUUUAGAUUUGGAACAUCUUGCAGUAGCAGAUUCUUUUUCUAAAAAGCAGCAGGUACAGUGACCCCCCCCUCAAAAAAAUCACAAAAUGAUAGAAUGGAAAGUGUUGUAUUGAACUAUCUAGUACCAAAUAAAUAAGGCAUAAUUACAAAUUAAAAUGUGAGUUAUAGACUAAAGUACACUGAAAGUCCAACGUGAAAAAGAUGACCACAGAAAUCAUCAUAAUGUCAAGAGUUCUUAACCUGGGUUCUAUGAAUUUUUUUUAAUAUUUUAUCUCAACUUUAAUAAAUAUAUUUUAAUAUAACUGA